rnacentral:lncRNA from 1 species
UUCUGUGAUUUAUGUCUCUGCUGGGAAACCUGUAAAUGAAUGAAGCCAUUUGUUGGGAUAAGCAAAUCAGCGAAAUUCAACAGCUGGACACAGAGGAAUGGAAAUCUAUUCCUGAACACCAUUUGUUGCAUCCCUGCCUCUGCCCUGGUGGAAGCACUGCUGCACUCCAGGUCUCCUCUACCCUCUCUCCUCCAGGAAUUGAGAAAUGUAACAUUUGGCUGCUUCUCUUACACCUUGCUUCAUCACAUCAGUCUGGUUGUUUGAAACUAAUAUCAGGUACUACUUGUUUUGAUAGCACGUAUUGUACUGCUGCCAGGAACUGUUCAUCAGAAAAUGGACUGUGA